rnacentral:rRNA from 1 species
CCUACGGGCGGCUGCAGUGAGGAAUCUUCCACAAUGGGCGAAAGCCUGAUGGAGCGACACCGCGUGAAGGAUGAAGCCUUUGUUGGUGUAAACUUCUUUUCUCUGGGAAGAUAAUGACGGUACCAGAGGAAUAAGGGGCGGCAAACUUCGUGCCAGCAGCCGCGGUAAUACGAGGGCCCCAAGCGUUAUCCGGAAUUACUGGGCGUAAAGCGUCUGUAGGUGGUUUGAAAAGUCUCAAGUGAAAGAUCAGGGCUCAACCCUGAUUCGCUUGGGAAACUAUCAAACUUGAGUGCGGGAGAGGCAAGCAGAACUGUAUGAGUAGGGGUGCAAUCCGUUGAUACAUACAAGAAUACCAAAAGCGAAGGCAGCUUGCUGGAACGCCACUGACACUGAGAGACGAAAGCGUGGGGAGCAAAAGGGAUUAGAUACCCCAGUAGUC